UCCUGCGGCAUAUGGAAGCUCCCAGGCUAGGGGUCGAAUCGGAGCUGUAGCCGCCAGCCUACACCAGAGCCACAGCAACGGGGCGCCGGGGGUGGGGGGGGGAUCCGAGCCCGCAACCUCAUGGUUCCUAGUUGGAUUCAUUUCCGCUGCGCCACGAUGGGAACUCCCAUAAGCUACUUCUUAAAGGUAAGGCAACUAGUGCCUAGAAAGGUUAAGAGGCUUACUUAAGACCAUAAAGCUAGUAAAAGGCAAAUCUGAUAAUACAAAACUUCAAAACUUGAGCUUUCUAUCAAUAUGCUGUACUUAUAAAAAAUGUUUAAAUUCUUCUUAGAAUUGAGAAAUUGAAAAAUGUAAGAUUUAAUUAUUAUGAAGAUUUUUAUAUGUGUUAUAUCUUGUUGUUGUGUUGGUCCAGGCUAUUGAUAGUGAUGCUUAUUGAUAGUGAUGCUAUCAAGUGAAGAAUUAUUGAAGUACAUGCCUAGGCCCAUAUCACUACUGGAGUUGAUGUGGUUCUUAUUAUAAUUUUGGGAUGCUGAACUGGGCCUUUGUGGUUCUUAUAUAAUUUUGGGAUGCACUUCAGCAAAAUUCAUCAGGGAAAUUUGAAUAAUAAGACUUAUUACUUUCAGAUCCUAGAAUAUACACAGCACAACUGAGGGGCAUACAGUGAGACUGUGAAAAGAAAGGGAGAGAAAAAGAGAGGGUGGGGGAGUGAGCAGGUCUCUAGGAAUCCAAGGAUGCAUGUUUUAUUUGGCUAAUUUAAAACAUAAAGAUAGUAAGUAGUAGAAGCCAAAUUUGUCUUCAAUCACAAGGCUCUAGUUGAGGCUUUUGCAGACUUUCAACUUAUGCUAUAACGAGGUUCAGUAUUCCAGCCAGCAACUACUUGCAAACUCCAGGGUAUUGAGAUGCAGCUGCAGCAGUAGUGUCAAUGGUUUUCUGUGUCCUGUAUCAGAGUUGUAAUAGUGUGUCCUUGAACUCAAUCUCAGAGGCUACCUUCUGGUUCCUUUCCUUUCUGAUUUUACCAGAGGUAGCCACAUUCUUGACUAGUCUGUUUUUAAGACAGUUAGGAAUUUAUUUCUGUACAUGCAGCCAGAGCCUGUCUUUCCAGGAUUUCCAUCAUUUUUGUUAGCAAAUACCUAGAAUGGAUUAUUCAAACACAUUGUAUUGUGGUUGAUCUUGUCUGGGGAAAAAAGAUGACAUUUAAUAGAAAUAUUUUAAAAUGAUUACAUAUGUUUCUAAACCAUUGAAGUUUGAUUCCAUGAAAACACUGGAAAAAUAUAAUUUUUAGGUUUGACAAGAUCAAUCACAUAGGGAAAUGUGAAAGUCUUAGAUAUGAGAGGAUAUUAUAUGGUCCGGGAGAAUUUUUCUCAAGGGUCUAUGGUCUUUCAGAAGAUGGGAAUUUAUUAGUAUGAUUCAGAAAAAUUACAUGGACUUUGGAAUCAGAUAGGUCUAGAUUCAAAAUGUGGCCCUUAAACUUAUGAAUUUCAUGGCAUUAUUCAACUUGCAAACAUCAGUUUUCUCACUGAUGAAAUGUAGAAUAAUUAUACUUUUCAUAAGAUUGUCAUGAGAUUGUCAUAAGUAAAUGAUACAAUGUCUGUAAUACAAGUGACACAAUAUCUGGCAUUAAAUAUAUAAUUAAUGAUAUUUACAUUCUUUUACCUAUGCCCCAUUUUGCAAACAGUAGUUUCAUCUUAUGGAAUGUUUCAAGGGAAGUUAAGCUUUUACAUUUUACUUGAUGCUUUUCUGUAUGUAACACUAUUAUGGCUAGAUGUUGUCUCCCAAAUAGAUUCCAACAGCAGGAAGAAGUUAAAUCACUUCUUGUGAGAAUGUGCAACAAGUUGAAAUGAGCAGAAGGAAAUACAUGUGGGAUUAGAAAAAUUGUGAGAGCAUAUAAUUCAAACAAUCUCAACCAGAAUAAAUAGAAAGGAAAUGAUACCAAGAUUAAAUUCUUGUUACUAAGUGAAAGAACCCAAUCUGAAAAGCCUACAUGCUAUGUUUCCAACUAUAUGACAUUCUGAAAAAGGCAAAACUAUGGGGAAAGUAAAAAUAACAGUGGUUGCCAUAGGUUUUCAGGGAAACAAAGAUCAAUAGCAGGGCAUAGAGGAUUUUUAGGGCAGUGAAAAUAACUCUGUAUAAUAUAAUGAUGCAUACAUAUCAUUACUCAUUUGCCCAAACUCAAAAGGUACAACACCAAGAGUCAAAUGUAAUGUAAACCAUGGACUUUGGGUGAUUAUGAUAUGUUCAUGCAGGUUUAUCAGUUGUAACAAAUGUACCACUCUGGUGGAAAAUGUUCACAAUGGGAGAGGCUAUGCAUUUUAGAAGUCGGGGGGAUGGGGGUGAUGGUCUAUGGGAAUUCUUCGCACCCUCUACUCAGUUUUGCUAUGUGAAAUUAAGUCUUAUCUAUAAUCAAAUUGCUAAAAAUUGAAUAAAAUUUUUAAAAAUCUUGAAAGCAGCUAGAGAGAAAAAAGACAUUAUCUACAAAGAACAAAGAUAGGAAUGUCAGCACAAUUCUUACUGAAACUGUGCAACCUGGAAAAUGAGCAUUAUUCUAAUGGGGGGAGGAGAAAAUUAUCAAUUUUAUCAAUGAAAAUCUAUAUCCAUGGAAAAUACUUGAAAAUAUCUUGCAAAAAUGAAUAUAAAGACCUCUAUGUCCAGAUAACAUUGAGUAAGAGGGAUCAUAUUAAUUCACCUGUCUGAAAUUACAAAAAUUACAAAAUAUAUGAAACAGUGGUUUUUAAGACACCAGCUAUCAGGCAACAAAAGACAGUGAUCCAUGAGGACAGGAAAUAGAACAAUAUGGCACCUUUCCUUACUGACUUGAGAAAUAGUCCAGACUACAGGGCAGUGGGGAGGACCCAGGAAAACUUUAGCAGACUCCCUCAGUUUUUGACACAAAAUUGAGAAUACUGAAAGACAAAGAAGGCCAGAAUUUGUGGAACAUAGUACUGGAGAAGAUAGAGCUGCACAGAAAUCAAACUCUAGAGAUUUGUGGAGGAUCCCCCCUGGAGUUUUCAGUAUUCAGUGUCCUCUAAUCACUACAUGUGUGUGAGAAACUGCAAGAGACUGGGGGAAAAGUCAACUGAGAGGAUUACAAAAAAUAUGGCUCAGUGCUUACACAGAGCUGGAAAUAGUGCCUGUUCUAAUCAGCCAGACUGAAAAAACACAUAAUUCACAGGUUACUGGUUAGCGUACUCAAAAAGAUCUUACUUAUUCGGUGGAAAAUAAUUCUCUUUGGACAAAAUAUUCUUCCGGUCCCACCUAAAUUUUUUUUAAAAAGAUCCAAAUGAAUCAAUCUCUUUUCAAAUAGUUUAUCUGUUAAAUCCAAGAAUAGAGGUCAAGGGUAUGUUGAAUACAAAAAUAACACUGAACAAGGUAACUAACAGUGUUUGUUGUCUUGUUAAAGAUUACCAGCCAUACAAAGAACAACAGGAUCAUAUAACUCAUAAUGGAAGAAAAAAACAAGUAGCUGAAAUUUAGCAAAACUGACAAGAUGAUAGAAUCAAUAAACAAGGACAUUAAAACGGUUUUUAUGACUAUAUUCCAUGUGUUCUAAAAGUUGACUAGACUUCCAGUUCAAACCGGAUGGCAUAAACCCACUUCUUCCUGCUCCUCCUGGCAUAGUACAACUAUAAACCAUGGAAAUAUUGAAAAAUAACAAGGAGAAAACUGAAGGGUACAAAAAGGAAGGUAACUGGUUUGGGACCUCAGAACUGAAGGGACAACUUACCAACAAGAGGUCUUAUUGCACCCCACACAGCAGAAGGCAACCCAGGACCAACAUUUUCCAAACUCCAAUCUAUAAAUAAAGUGCAGCUCAAAUAGGUUCAAUUAUUCUCUGGAUUAAAUGAGAAUCCCUUCAGGUGAGCAUGGUAACAAGCAAAGUGGAUUACUAGAGAGACAUGUUGACACUAAGAGACCAGGAAAACACUCUCCUUCCGUACGAGGCCUGAGACUCCCUUCCCCAUCCAGAGAUACAGCUUGCUAGGAAAGCACCAGCAAGGGGGAUCCCACAAGAAGUGUGUAGCCUAGGUGCCUUUUACAAGGGGCAUUACGGGUUGGAUGGCACUGACAAAAGGGAUCCUGCUAUAACAAGGGCUCAGCUUGGGAAAUAUUCUGCCUAUAGCUGAGAUUCUUCCCUUACUGAGAGAGAGAAGGUAUCUAGAGACAUGGAUAAAAAUGUUCUAUUACAACUAGCGGCUGGCCCAGGAAGUCUGUUCAUUUCUAUGGGACUGAGUCUCCUUUCCCCUACCAAGAGACACUGAGUAGGUAAACAACACAAGUCAAAAGGAUCCUAAUCCAACAAGGAGCAUGGCAUAAGAAGCCAAUUUAUUUUUGGUUGGAGAUGUCCUGCCUAUCAGAACCAGACAGCACAGCCUGGACAUCAUUCUUCAAGCAAUAAUAACCCCAAGGGAGGCCCCAGGGGAAAAAUAAACCAAGAACCAAGCAGGUAAAAAUGGCACCAUAAUGCCUCUUAAAAUUAUCAUUGAAGUCACAGAUUAGAAAAGGCCAGGAACUCCAUGCAAAACCUAAGCAGGAUGAAUGACUGUUAAAGUAUUUUUAAAUAGGAUCUUGAGUCUCCUAACAAAAGAGAACAAAAUAGCCAAAAUUUCUGAUGUGAUAAAAAACAUUAAUCAUACCAAGAGUCAGAAAAGUCACAACUUAUAUGAGAAAAGACUAUCAACCGAAGUAAACGUCAAAAUAUAUUAGAUGUUGGAAAUACCCAAUAAAGAUUUUAAAGCAUCCUUAACAAAAAUGCUUCAACAAGAAAUUAUAAGUUCUCUUGAAAUAAACAAAUGAAAAUUUAAAAUCAUCAAAUAAAUAUAAAUCAUAAAAUAGAAAAUAUAAAACUGAACAUUACAGUAAACAAAAUAAAAUAUUUGCAGGAUGGGCCCAAUCACAGAAUAUUGAUGACAAAGGAUAGAAUCAGUACAGUUAACUAGAAUUUACCCAGUUUGAACAACAUAGAGAAAACAGAAUCAAAUUAACAGAGCCUCAAGAACCUAUGUGUGACAAUACUAAAAUAUCCACCAAUUGUAUCAUCAGAGUCCAGGAAGGAGAGGAGAAAAAAAAGGGACUACAAAGAAAUACUAGAUGAAAACUUGCCAAAUUUUGCAAAAGACAUACUCUUACAAAUUUGAAGGCUGAACUUAUUCUAAGUAGGGAAAUCCAAAACAAUCCACACCAAGACACAUAAUAAACUUUUGAAAACUAAAAGAAAAAUCUUAAAAUAAACCAGAGAGAAAAGAUAUAUUACUUACAGGGGAAUAUCAAUUCUAAUGACAAUAUUUUCAUCGGAAUCCAUGGUGGCCAAAACAAACAUUUUUCAAGUGCAGAGAAAAUGACUAGUCAUGAAUUCCAUAUCCAGUGAAACUAUCCUUCAGAAAGGAAGGUAAAAUAAAGAUGUUUUUAGAUAAAGGAAAAUGAAAAUAAUUUGUCAGAAGCAGACCUACCCUUACAGAAAGGCUGAAAAGAAAGGAAUUGAUAAAGAAGGAAUCAUGGGACAUCAGGAAGGAAGAUAAAUGGAAAGAUCAGAAAUAUGGGUAAAAACAGUAAAUUGUCCUUUAUGAGUUAUAUAAAUCAUUUACUAAUUUAAAAAAAUUUUAUAAAGCCAUCUAAUAUGCAAAGUAAUGAUAUUUAAAGUUAAUGAAGGCAAAGGGACCUAAACAGUAGUAAGAUUCUUUCCCUAGAACUGGUAAAUGUUGACUCCAGUAGACUGCGUGGGAAGUCAGAUAUGCGUAAGUUAAUACCCAGAGCUACCACUAAACUAUACAACAAUAUACUUUCAAAACACUAUAUAUCCAAAGAAAUAGAAUCCCGAAAAAUGUUCAAGUAAUUCGCAAGAAGGCGAGAGAGACAGAGAGAAAGAAAAACAUAGAAACAAGUAAUAAAAUGACAGAUUUAAACUUUAACAUAUCACUAAUUACCUUAAAUGCAAAAAUUCUAAACCCACCAAUUAAAAAAUGAUACUGGAAGUGAGGAUAAAACAUCAUGAUUAAAGUUUAGAGGCUUCACAAGGCUCAUUUUCAAUUCAACAACAUAGGUAGAUUGCAAGAAAAAAAAUAUAAUGCAAACAUGAGUCAUUUUUUAAAAAGCAGGAUUAUCUAUGUUAAUAUCAGAUAAAGUCAACUUUAGAGCAUAGGAACUCAUCUGAGACAAAGAGGGACUUGACAUUAUGAUAAAAGGAUCAGUCUGCCAGGAAGACGUACUGAUCCUACAUGUGUAUGAACCAAACAACACAACUUCAAUUUACAUGAAGCAAAAACUCAUAGAGCUGAAAAGAGAUAUACACUGAUCCAAAAUUACAGUUAAGAACUCAUUCUCAGAAACUAAUAUCAUUACUAGAAAGAAAAUCAGCAAGGAUAGAGAUCUAAAUAAAGUAGUCAAUCAAAAAGAUCUCCUUGGCAUACAUGGAACAUUCACCCAACAACAAAAGAAUACACAUUAUUUUAAAGUACCCAUAGAAUGUUCACCAAAAUAGACCAUGUCCUAAGGCAUGAAGCAAAUCCUAAUAAAAUAAUUUAAAUCGUAUAAGGUAUAUUAACUGACCAAAAUGAAUCAAACUACAAAUCAAGAACAGAAAGGCAACAGUAAAUUAUUAAAUACUUGAAAAUUAAACAAUAUAUACCUAAAUAAUGCAUGGAUCAAAGAAGCUUCAAAUAGUCUUAAAAUUACACUUAGAACUGAAUAAAAAUGAAAACAGCAUAUUAACAUAUUUAGGAUAAUAAAAAAGAAUGAAUUUUGCCAUUUGCAACAGCAUGGAUAGACCUGGGGGAUAUUAUUCUUAGUGAAAUAAGUCAAACAGAGAAAGACAAAUACUAUAUGUUAUCACUUCUAUAUGGAAUCUAAAAAUGUUUUCAAUGAAUGAAUAUAACAAAACCAAAACAAACUCACAGAUAUAGCAAAGAAACUGAAUUGUUACAGUGGAGAGAGGGAAGUGGGGGAGGGCCAAGAGGGGGUAGGUGAUUAAGUGAUACAAACUACUACAUAUAAAAUAAGUUACAAGGAUAUAUUGUACAGCAUAGGGAAUAUAUCCAAUAUUUUAUAGUAACUUUAUGUGGAGUAUCAUCUAUAAAAUUAUUGAUUCACUGUUGUACACCUAAAACUAAUAUAAUAUUGCAAAUUAACCAUCUCAAUAAAAUUAUUAAAAAAAUUUUUAAAAUGUAUGGAAUGAGGCAAAGUAGUGCAGAGAUGGAAAUUAUAUUCCAAAUUGUUUAUACUAUCAGAAACAAAAUGAGGAUUGUGCAGCCAUUCAAUGGGAAAUAAUGGAGUAAUAUGCAAAACUUAGAAGAAAUGAACAAAGUCUAUGAAAUCUACAACAACCAAAUCUCAACCAGUAAAAAAAAAAAAUUAACAUCCCUUUAACCUUCAAAUCAAUUGUAUUUGAUGGUUUCUCAGGACAGAUAUCUCCAGUCCAGAUGCUGGAGAUACAAGACAAAAAAAAAUUGAAGGCAAAGAAAAUGAUAAUAACUCAUGGUUAUUGACACAAAAUUCUUAAUACGUAAUUAGCAAAUUGAAUCUGGAAAUAAAUAAAAAAUAGUAUCUUAUCAAGUACACUUUUUCUCAGAAAUGGAAGAUGUUUUAACCUUUAAAAAUCAUCGGCAUAAGAAAAUAUAUACAUAAUUUACACAUACUAGAAUAUUAUUCAGCCUUGAAAAAGAAGGGAAUCCUGCCUCUAUGACAAAAUGAAUGGAACUUAAGGAAAUAUUCUAAGAUAAACAAAUCAGAGAAAGACAAAUUUUGUAUUUUCUUGCUUGUAUGUGGAAUCUAAAAGUGCCAAGAUCACAGAAACAAAAAAUAUAAUGAUAGGUAUUAUGGGCUUGGGAGUACAAAAUAAAUGGGGAUAUAUUUGUCAAAGAGUAUGAACAUCCAACUAUAAGAUAAAUAAGUUCUGGGGUUAUAAAGUACAGCAUGGCGACUAUAGUUAAAAAUACUAUAUGCUUGAAAGUUGUUAAGAGAAUAUACCUUAAAUGUUAUCACCAUGAAAAGCAAAUGUUAACUACAUCAGGGGAUGGCAAUGUUAACUAGCCUUAUCAUGGUAAUAAUUUUGCAAUAUAUAUGUAUAUCAAACCAUUGUGUAUAGAUUUUAAUCUUACAUAAGUUAUAUGUCAAUAACACCUCCAAAUAGCUGGGAAAAAAAUCAAUCAGUCAGUGCAACUCACCAUAUUUGUAGGGUAUAAGAGAAAAAACAUUUAAUGAUAGUUAUCACCCAGUCAAACCAGAAACAACGAACUAGGAAGAGAACCUC
rnacentral:lncRNA from 1 species